UACGGAGGCUGCAAGCGUUAUCCGGAAUUAUUGGGCGUAAAGCGUCCGUAGGUGGCUUUACAAGUCAGCUGUUAAAGCGUGGAGCUUAACUCCAUAAAGGCAGUUGAAACUGUGAGGCUAGAGUGCGGUAGGGGUAAGGGGAAUUCCCAGUGUAGCGGUGAAAUGCGUAGAUAUUGGGAAGAACGCCGGUGGCGAAAGCGCCUUGCUGGACCUGCACUGACACUGAGGGACGAAAGCUAGGGGAGCGAAAGGG
rnacentral:rRNA from 1 species